UUAUUUUAAAACACUUUAUUUUUCGCUACGCACUUCGUUUUAAUUCUACUUCCGGUGUGAGAGGUCAUUCCAAAAUGGCGCCGUCCGAGAAGAAACAUGCUAGUAACCAGGCUUGUGUUAUUCCUGGAGGAUUUACAGUGCUGCCUGUACAGUUCAAUUCAGACAGUGUUGCUCAACACAAGCUGUACGUGAAGGAGCACAAAGUCCGGUCAGACCGGAGCUCACACAGACCGAUGGACCGGACGCUGUUUGUGCUCAACAUCCCUCCAUACUGCUCAGAGGAUGUUGCCAAACAGAUGUUCUCUCAGUUCGGUUCUGUUCAGUCCGUGGAGCUGAUGGACAAUCCGGGUCCAUUAGCUCAGGACUCUGGACCCAAGAUAUCCAAGUUCUUCAGACCAGCUGCCAAACAGGGUUUCAAAGUGGGCUACGUUGUGUUUGAAAACUCCUCCAGUAUAGCAGCAGCUAAAUCACACCCUCAUAAUGUUCCUCUGGUGGUCUGCACAGAGAAGUGUCGGGUGAAGACAGGAACACAGAAAUGGAUUCAGCAGUACACAGAAUCUUUCAUUCGUACGGAUAACCUGCAAAAAAUAGUCGACUCCUUCAUGGAGGGCUACGACAAACGGAAAAAGGAGGUGAGAAAUCUGCAGCUCAUAGUGUCUCAAUCCCAUCUAUCCAACAUGUGGACUUUAAGAUGUGUUUUCUGUCUCUUAGGAAGAGGAGAAGCAGAAGGAGGAGGCCAAGCAGCAACAGGAGGAUGAGGAGGGCUGGGUGAAAGUCACCAGAGGAACGAAGGCCCGCCCCCACAGCGAAGCAGCCAAUAAGAAGACUCUGCAGACGGUGAUCAGGAAGAACAAGAGGAAGGAGCUCAUGAACUUCUACACCUGGCAGCACAGAAACACCCAGAAAGAACAUAUUGCUGAACUAAGGAAAAAGUUUGAGGAGGACAAACAGAAAAUAGCUCUCCUGAGGGUGCAGAGAAAGUUCAAACCUUACUGAAUCAACUUCCUUUCAUUCCUCGUUUCACUGCUUUAGUGGGUUUUAGUUACUUUAUAACCUGGAGCAUUUCUUUGUCAAUAAACUAUUAAACUGAC